rnacentral:rRNA from 1 species
UACGGGGGGGGCAAGCGUUGUUCGGAAUUACUGGGCGUAAAGGGCUCGUAGGCGGCCAACUAAGUCAGACGUGAAAUCCCUCGGCUUAACCGGGGAACUGCGUCUGAUACUGGAUGGCUUGAGAUUGGGAGAGGGAUGCGGAAUUCCAGGUGUAGCGGUGAAAUGCGUAGAUAUCUGGAGGAACACCGGUGGCGAAGGCGGCAUUCUGGACCAUAACUGACGCUGAGGCACGAAAGCGUGGGGAGCAAACAGG